rnacentral:rRNA from 1 species
GGUUUGAUCAUGGCUCGAUUGAACGCUGGCGGGAUGCUUUACACAUGCAAGUCGAACGGCAGCACGGACUUCGGUCUGGUGGCGAGUGGCGAACGGGUGAGUAAUGUAUCGGAACGUGCCUAGUAGCGGGGGAUAACUACGCCGAAAGCGUAGCCAAUAAUGCAUACCGCCUGGGGAGCAGAUCUUCGGGCCCGCACUAUUAGAGCGGCCGGAUAUCGGAUUAGUCAGUUGGUGGGGUAACGGCUCACCAAGGCGACGAUCCGUAGCUGGGUUUCUGAGAGGGACGCGACCAGCCACACUGGGACCGAGACACGGCCCAGACUCCUACGGGAGGCAGCAGUGGGGAAUUUUGGACAAUGGGGAAACCCCGCGAUCCAGCCAUCCCGCGUGUGCGAUGAAGGCCUUCGGGUUGUAAAGCACCCUUGGCAGGAAAGAAACGGCACGGGAUAAUACCCCGUGCAACUGACGGUACCUGCAGCAUUACACCACAACUACGUGCCAGCAGCCGCGGUAAUACGUAGGGUGCAAGCGUUAAUCGGAAUUACUGGGCGUAAAAGCGUGCGCAGGCGGUUCGGAAAGAAAGAUGUGAAAUCCCAGAGCUUAACUUUGAACCGUACUUUAACUACUUGAGCUAGAGUGUGUCAGAGGGAGGUGGAAUUCGCGUGUAGCAGUGAAAUGCGUAGAUAUGCGGAGGAACACCGAUGGCGAAGGCAGCCUCCUGGGAUAACACUGACGCUCAUGCACGAAAGCGUGGGGAGCAAACAGGGAUUAGAUACUCCGGUAGUCCACGCCCUAAACGAUGUCAACUAGCUGUUGGGGCCUCGGGCCUUGGUAGCGCAGCUGGAUCGCGUGAAGUUGAGAUCGCCUGGGGAGUACGGUCGCAAGAUUAAAACCUGAAUUGACGGGGACCUGCACAAGCGGUGGAUGAUGUGGAUUAACGAUGCAACGCGAAAACCUUACCUACUCCUUGACAUGUCUGGAAUCCGGAAGAGAUUUGGGAGUGCUCGCAAGAGAACCGGAACACAGAAGGCACGGCUGUCGUCAGCUCGUGUCGUGAGAUGUUGGGUUAAGUCCCGCAACGAGCGCAACCCUUGUCAUUAGUUGCUACGAAAGGGCACUCUAAUGAGACUGCCGGUGACAAACCGGAGGAAGGUGGGGAUGACGUCAAGUCCUCGCGGCCUUUGGCGUGGUAGGGCUUCACACGUCAUACAAUGGUCGGGACAGAGGGUCGCCAACCCGCGAGGGGGAGCGACCCGAAACCCGAUCGGUCCGGAUCGCAGUCUGCAACUCGACUGCGUGAAGUCGGAAUCGCUAGUAAUCGCGGAUCAGCAGGCGUCGGUGUGAAUACGUUCCCGGGUCUUGUACACACCGCCCGUCACACCAUGGGAGUGGGUUUUACCAGAAGUAGUUAGCCUAACCGUAAGGAGGGCGAUUACCACGGUAGGAUUCAUGAUCAGUGAAGUCGUAUCAAGGUAA